GAUGAAGAACGUAGCGAAAUGCGAUAAGUAAUGUGAAUUGCAGAAUUCAGUGAAUCAUCGAAUCUUUGAACGCACAUUGCGCCCGCCAGCACUCUGGCGGGCAUGCCUGUUCGAGCGUCAUUUCAACCAUCAAGCCCCCAGGGGCUUGUGCUGGGGCCCUGCGGCUGCCCGCAGGCCCUGAAAACCAGUGGCGGGCUCGCUAGUCACACCGAGCGCAGUAGCACAUCUCGCUCAGGGCGUGCGGCGGGCUCCUGCCGUGAAACCCCCCACUGUAACCCCAAAGGUUGACCUCGGAUCAGGUAGGAAUACCCGCUGAACUUAAGCAUAUCAAUAAGCGA
rnacentral:misc_RNA from 1 species